AACGGCUGUGUGGCACAGCCAUCGGUACACCUGUUCGACCGCGAGAGCGGGACGUUUCACACGAGAGAGCAGGUUGUGUCGUAGACCAGCAAAUAUCCCACCUGCGGUACGGGAAGCCGCGCCGUUUACGGCGCGGAGGAUGUCACCUGGAACAGCUUA
rnacentral:misc_RNA from 1 species